rnacentral:rRNA from 1 species
ACAUGCCUACAACAUAACGUUAAAGCACUGAAGCCCAUUAGAACUUCGUAGUUAAGCGCGCUUAGGUUAGAGUAGUACUGGGAUGGCUGACCGCUUGGGAAGUCCUAGUGUUUUACAUGCC